rnacentral:pre_miRNA from 1 species
CCCACACCCAUGUGUGUAGGAUCCCGAAGGAUCACGAUUAAAUUUGGCACAGAUCUCUAGAAAAGUUAUCACAUGGAUGUGAGAUUUGACUUUUCUAGAUAUCUGUAUAAAUUUUAAUGGUGAUCCUUUGAGGUCCUACACAUAUGGGUGUGGG